GAAGGUGCGCGGGCGGGCGCAAUCGCCUCGCCGCCCGCAGGGAGUUGUGCGGCUUUGCUGCCGUUCUGACCUCCCGCCCGCAGGUGGCGCUGUACGGAGAGCGCUCUUUUGACCAAAAAAAAGGGAACGCCGGAUGUGACGUCAAACCCACAGAGAACUUCCGCCUCCUUCGGAAAGGAAGGGGAGGUUUCCCAAAACAACAUGGUUGCUUUGCAAAUCUUGGAGCCUGGGGGGUGUGGGCUGGGUGGGCAGGUGCCCAGAUGUAUUUGUUUGCUCGGUUACAUUAAAAUAAUAAAGAUUGCAGUUAAUCAUGUAUUUAAAAUUAAUUUAUUCAAUUAAUUAAUUAAUUAAUUAAUUAAUUGAAUUAAUUAAUUAAUUAUUCAAAAUAGCUUAUUCAAAACUUAUUCAACUUAUUCAAAAGGUAAAUAUUGCAAUUAUCAAAGUGACCCCCGGGUAUAGGGCGGUAUAUAAAUUCAAGAAAUGAAAUGAAAUAAAAAUAAUAUUGCAACUAAUAAAAUGAAACAUCAACAUGGUUUGCAACUGUUCCAGCACAUCCUGAAAUAUGAGUGAAUUUGGGGUCCCUGCAAGGGGUUCAGCUUCUUAAGGAAGGCUGGGCCUUCGGAAAACGUGCUCUUUGAGGCUCAAACCGGUCAGGAAAUAAACACAGACCAGACCAGGGAUUUUCAGAAAGCAAAGCGGCUGGAAGCCUGGUCCUUUAUUAAAAUUAUAUGCAGAACUGUUGGCAACAGAGUUCCCACUCACGUAGCAGGCAGCCAAGAGAGAACCCCAAAUAAAAGAGAAUUUUGACCUAUAUACCUUUUAAUUUCCAUACAGAACAAUGGUAACAGAAGACGUCAAAGAAGGCGCGGUGAGAGGAUUAGAACAGGAAAACUUCGGAGCUGCUAGGUGCUGUCUGAUAAGGAGACAGGAUUUUGGGAGUCGCUUAUCAGUGCAGGUGUGUUGCCUUAUUCUGCAUUUUUCCUUUAUUUAAAUAAAACUAUCUGAGGUUGUA